UCCUUGACGGUCAGUGAGGGAAUUGGAGAGUUGUUUAAUCUUUUGAUUCCUAGGGCUCCUCUAUUCUCAAAAUCGGCUUCUGGUUCUACUGCUAGCGCAUCUCUUUCUUCUUCUUCUCCAUUUACCUUCGGAAAGUCCUUUCCAUGGCGCUUCCUCCUGGGCCUUAUUCAGGAACCAGCACCCUCGCUUUGGUUGCUCGUGCUUCGGCUUUCUCUGUUGGACUUGUCUACGGAAGCCUCAAGCUCAAGUACCUUCAGGCGAAGGCUAAAUCUCACAAGAAAGCAGAAGCCAAGGCUCAUCACUGAGGUAUGGGCUGAUUCUGGUCAGCGUGAAAACUUAGGAACCGGUUGAAUUUGAAAGCGAAUAAUACAUGGUAGAUGGUCACGAUCUAUUUUCUUUCAUACUUUUUUGUUCUGCAUUGGAUGACUCUAUACUCAUUGAAGAGUUGUGGAGAUGUAUCUAACCUCGGUCUUAGUGGUCGUAUUUGAGUUACACAAUUCGUUCUGAUGGAUGGACGAGAAGGGUUAUCAGAUCAUGAUUCCUUUCUUUGAUUGAAAUGAAUAACUUGUUUCCCAUC